GUGCCAGCCGCCGCGGUAAUACGUAGGGUGCGAGCGUUAAUCGGAAUUACUGGGCGUAAAGCGUGCGCAGGCGGCUUUGCAAGACAGAGGUGAAAUCCCCGGGCUCAACCUGGGAACUGCCUUUGUGACUGCAAGGCUAGAGUACGGCAGAGGGGGAUGGAAUUCCGCGUGUAGCAGUGAAAUGCGUAGAUAUGCGGAGGAACACCGAUGGCGAAGGCAAUCCCCUGGGCCUGUACUGACGCUCAUGCACGAAAGCGUGGGGAGCAAACAGGAUUAGAUAC
rnacentral:rRNA from 1 species